CUUCAAAAUUUGUUAGUUCUAAUAUUAUUGUAUUAUUGUAUUGAUUAUAAUCGAUUAUAGACUAAUUGUAUAUACUAAAAGAGAUUAAUGAAUCUACGACACCACAUUAUCGAUCAUUUUCGUGAGCAGCGUAAUAAUUGGUGGGUUGAUGAUCCAGCUUGCGUUGGUAUUAAGACAGGAAAAUGGUUUUUCAAGAGUAUUGGUUUGAAACUAAGAAGAGAUUGGGAGAUUAAAUCGAAAGCGAGUAUAGCGACGAUACAAUUAUAUACAAAGGCUUCUAUCCGAUCAGGACGAUGGCGGAAGUGCGGGCAUACGAUAAAAAAAUGUAUUUUAUAACAUUUUUUUUUGUAACGCCAUUAUAGUGCGUCGGGUAACAUAUCAUAGCAGUGUUAAGUGUGUCAUACGAGUUUCCUCUCAAUAAUGAGUGUUGAUUACAUGUUGAAUACGACUGCCAGUCAUUAAGGCAUACACAUAGUAAUGGUGUAAUGCGAAAGCAAGAGAAAAAUUCAAACAGUUUUUAUUUACAUGUAAUUUAUAUGCACCCUUUUAUGAGAUGAAUAUUUUAAUUCUACUUUUUAUGUGUGCUCUAGAUAUGUUCAUUAUACUAAAUUUAAAUAUUACUUAUUCCCUAAGAUUUCAUACAGAUUGAAAAUAUAUAUAAAUUCUACAGAUAAAAUCUUUAUAUCGAUAGAAAAAUA